rnacentral:rRNA from 1 species
CUAGCCCUAAACGAUGCAGACUAGACGUCGGCGGUGUAAUAGCUGUCGGUGUCCAAGCUAACGCGAUAAGUCUGCCGCCUGGGGACUACGGCCGCAAGGUUAAAACUCAAAGGAAUUGACGGGUCCCCGCACAAGCAGCGGAGCGUGUGGUUUAAUUCGUUGCUACACGAAGAACCUUACCUGGGUUUGACAUAGCAGUGGUAGGAAAGUGAAAACGGACCGACCCUUCGGGGAGCUGUUACAGGUGU